rnacentral:rRNA from 1 species
AGGGGGGGAAAGAACCAACAGGGAUUGCCCCAGUAACGGCGAGUGAAGCGGCAACAGCUCAAAUUUGAAAUCUGGCCCCCGGGUCCGAGUUGUAAUUUGCAGAGGAUGCUUCGGGCGAGGUGCCUUCCGAGUUCCCUGGAACGGGACGCCACAGAGGGUGAGAGCCCCGUCUGGUCGGACACCGAGCCCGUGUGAAGCUCCUUCGAAGAGUCGAGUAGUUUGGGAAUGCUGCUCAAAAUGGGAGGUAUAUGUCUUCUAAAGCUAAAUAUUGGCCAGAGACCGAUAGCGCACAAGUAGAGUGAUCGAAAGAUGAAAAGCACUUUGAAAAGAGGGUUAAAAAGUACGUGAAAUUGUUGAAAGGGAAGCGCCCAUGACCAGACUUGGGCCCGGUGAAUCACCCGGCGUUCUCGCCGGUGCACUUUGCCGGGCACAGGCCAGCAUCAGUUUGGCGCGGGGGACAAAGGCUUCGGGAACGUGGCUCCCUCGGGAGUGUUAUAGCCCGCUGCGUAAUACCCUGCGCCGGACUGAGGUACGCGCAUCGCAAGGAUGCUGGCGUAAUGGUCAUCAGCGACCCGUCUUGAAACACGGACCAAGGAGUCGUCUUCGUAUGCGAGUGUUCGGGUGUCAAACCCCUACGCGGAAUGAAAGUGAACGCAGGUGAGAGCUUCGGCGCAUCAUCGACCGAUCCUGAUGUUCUCGGAUGGAUUUGAGUAAGAGCAUACGGGGCCGGACCCGAAAGAAGGUGAACUAUGCCUGUAUAGGGUGAAGCCAGAGGAAACUCUGGUGGAAGCUCGCAGCGGUUCUGACGUGCGAAUCGAUCGUCAAAUAUGGGCAUGGGGGCGAAAGACUAAUCGAACCUUCUAGUAGCUGGUUUCCGCGAGUUCCCCCCUCUACGAGAAAUUG